rnacentral:sRNA from 23 species
AUUGUGACAUGUUAAACAAAAACGACCCGGCAGGUGUACGCUGCCGGGCGUUUUGUAUGGGC